GGCCAUUCCCGCAGGUAGUUUGGGUGUUGGCUUUCCCGCUGCAGGCCAGCCGGAAGCACUAAAGCAGAGUCCAGGCAGGCAGGGCAGAGGCUGUGCUGGUGAAAGAGGCUGAGCAGCCAUUCUAGCCGGAGGAUACAAAUGCCCAUGGUGCUGAUCAACUCUGGUAAGCCUGGAAGCAAAUGCUGCUGGGUCUUCAGGCCAGGCUUGUCAGCUCCCUGCUCUGCUCUGUGGUGGGGCUGCCCUGGGCUGGCUCUUUCCCUUUCUGGCCCCCAGAAGGAGGUGCCAGCAAGCGAGGAAGGAAGCCCUCAGCAGGAACUAAAUCUGCUGUGCUACGGACUGGAGGUUUGUGUCCCUGAAAAGUCAUGUGUUGAACCUAAUCUCCAAUGUAAUGGUAGUAGAGGUGGGGCCUUUGGGUGGUGAUUAAGUCAUGAAGGUAGAACUCUCAUGAAUGGGAUUAGAGUCCUUAUAAAAGAGACAUUGGAGAGCUCCCUUGCCCCUUCCACCAUGUGAGGAUGCGUCGAGAAGACAGCUGUCUAUGAACCGGGAAGGGGGUCCUCACCAGACAUCGAAUCUGCCAGUGCCUUGAUCUUGGACUUCCCAGCCUCCAGAACUGUGAAAAAUAAACGUUUGUUGUUUGAGCCACUCAG
rnacentral:lncRNA from 1 species